rnacentral:rRNA from 1 species
CCGUCGGUGUUAACUGGCAUGUCCUGUGGAACGUCCUGCCGGUGGCGGUCCGGGCUCUCGGCUUGCGUAAAGGCUCUGCCCGAAGCAGGUCGAACAGUUCCGGCCGCCGGUCCAAUCCCGCCACGGUGCUCUUUACCGAGUGUCGAGGUGGGCCGGCACGUUUACUUUGAACAAAUUAGAGUGCUUAAAGCAGGCUGGUGUCCGCCUGAAUACUGUGUGCAUGGAAUAAUAGAAUAGGACCUCGGUUCUAUUUUGUUGGUUUUCGGAACCCGAGGUAAUGAUUAAUAGGGACAGGCGGGGGCAUUCGUAUUGCGACGUUAGAGGUGAAAUUCUUGGAUCGUCGCAAGACGAACCUAAGCGAAAGCAUUUGCCAAGUAUGUUCUCGUUAAUCAAGAACGAAAGUUAGAGGUUCGAAGGCGAUCAGAUACCGCCCUAGUUCUAACCAUAAACGAUGCCAGCCAGCGAUCCGCCGAAGUUCCUCCGAUGACUCGGCGGGCAGCUUCCGGGAAACCAAAGCUUUUGGGUUCCGGGGGAAGUAUGGUUGCAAAGCUGAAACUUAAAGGAAUUGACGGAAGGGCACCACCAGGAGUGGAGCCUGCGGCUUAAUUUGACUCAACACGGGAAACCUCACCAGGCCCGGACACCGGAAGGAUUGACAGAUUGAGAGCUCUUUCUUGAUUCGGUGGGUGGUGGUGCAUGGCCGUUCUUAGUUGGUGGAGCGAUUUGUCUGGUUAAUUCCGAUAACGAACGAGACUCUAGCCUGCUAACUAGGCGAUUUCCGGUACCCACAAUAGUGUUACCGGCGAUUCAAUUUCUUCUUAGAGGGACAGGCGGCUCCUAGCCGCACGAGACUGAGCAAUAACAGGUCUGUGAUGCCCUUAGAUGUCCUGGGCCGCACGCGCGCUACACUGAAGGAAUCAGCGUGUCUUCCCUGGCCGACAGGCCCGGGUAACCCGUUGAACCUCCUUCGUGCUAGGGAUUGGGGCUUGCAAUUGUUCCCCAUGAACGAGGAAUUCCCAGUAAGCGCGAGUCAUAAGCUCGCGUUGAUUACGUCCCUGCCCUUUGUACACACCGCCCGUCGCUACUACCGAUUGAAUGAUUUAGUGAGGUCUUCGGACUGGUGCGCGGCGGUCGGUCUUGCCGGCCGCCGAUGUUGCUGGAA